GGUGAGUGCAGCUCAGUGGUAGAGCGCAUGCUUAGCACGCAUGAGGUCCUGAGUUCAAUCCCCAGUUCCUCCA
rfam:Camelus ferus unplaced genomic scaffold scaffold1133, whole genome shotgun sequence.